rnacentral:rRNA from 1 species
AACGAACGCUGGCGGCAUGCCUAACACAUGCAAGUCGAACGAGACCUUCGGGUCUAGUGUCUCACGGGUGCGUAACGCGUGGGAACCUGCGCUUAGGUUCGGAAUAACGUCGCGAAAGGGAUGCUAAUACAGGAUAAUGUCUUCGGACCAAAGAGUUAUCGUCUAUGGAUUGGCGCGCAUUAGGUUAGCUAGUUGGAAUGCUAGACGACUACGCAGGCGACUAGCCAUAGCUGGUAGGAGCGGAUGACCAGCAAUACUGGGAAUGAGGCACCGCCCAGACUCCUGCGAGAGGCAGCAGUGGGACAGAGUAGACAAGGGGCGAAAGCCUGAUCCAGCAAAGCGGAGAGAGUGAUGAAGGGAUUAGGGUGGUAAAGCUCUUUUACCGGGGAUGAUAAGGACAGAACCGAGAGAAUAAGCACGGGUUAACUCCGU